GAUGAACGCUGGCGGCGUGCCUAAUACAUGCAAGUCGAGCGAACAGACGAGGAGUUUGCUCCUCUGACGUUAGCGGCGGACGGGUGAGUCACACGUGGAUAACCUACCUCUAAGACUGGGAUAACUUAGGGAAACCGGAGCUAAUACCGGAUAAUCUAUUGAAACGCAUGGUUCUAUAGUGAAAGACGGUUUUGCUGUCACUUAUAGAUGGAUCCGCGCCGCAUUAGCUAGUUGGUAAGGUAAGGGCUUACCAAGGCAACGAUGCGUAGCCGACCUGAGAGGGUGGUCGGCCACACUGGAGCGGAGCCACGGUCCAUACUCCUACGGAAGGCAGCAGUAUGGAAUCUUCCGCAAUGGUCGAGAGCCUUACGGAGCAACGCCGCGUGAGUUAUGAAGAUCUUCGGAUCGUAAAGCUCUGUUAUGAGUGAAGAACAAAUGUGUAAGUAACUGUGCACGUCUUGACGGUACCUGAUCAGAAAGCCACGGCUAACUACGUG
rnacentral:rRNA from 1 species